rnacentral:siRNA from 1 species
GCGAUAAAGACAAAUGGUGGUAU